GCGCGAGUAGUAUAGUGGUUAUUAUGUCUCACUCGUAUUAAAUGGUACGAUUAUGAGAAGGUCGGGAGUUCGACUCUCCCCUUGCGCA